CAACUACUCCCUCUGUCCGAAAUUUCUUGUCUUAGAUUUGUCUAGAUACGGAUGUAUCUAAUACUAAAAUGUGACUUGAUACAUUCGUAUCUAGACAAAUCUAAGACAAGAAUUUUGGGACCGAGGGAGUACUUU
rfam:Triticum aestivum genome assembly, contig: Triticum_aestivum_CS42_TGACv1_scaffold_172404_2DL